rnacentral:rRNA from 2 species
UACGUAGGGGGCAAGCGUUGUCCGGAUUUAUUGGGCGUAAAGCGCGCGUAGGCGGUUUCUUAAGUCUGAUGUGAAAUCUUGCGGCUCAACCGCAAGCGGUCAUUGGAAACUGGGGAACUUGAGUGCAGAAGAGGAGAGUGGAAUUCCACGUGUAGCGGUGAAAUGCGUAGAGAUGUGGAGGAACACCAGUGGCGAAGGCGACUCUCUGGUCUGUAACUGACGCUGAGGUGCGAAAGCGUGGGUAGCGAACAGG